GACGUAGGGCGCAAGCGUUGUCCGGAUUUAUUGGGCGUAAAGAGCUCGUAGGCGGCUUGUUGCGUCGUCCGUGAAAACCCGCAGCUCAACUGCGGGCUUGCGGACGAUACGGGCAGGCUAGAGUUCGGUAGGGGAGACUGGAAUUCCUGGUGUAGCGGUGAAAUGCGCAGAUAUCAGGAGGAACACCGGUGGCGAAGGCGGGUCUCUGGGCCGAUACUGACGCUGAGGAGCGAAAGCAUGGGUAGCGAACAGG
rnacentral:rRNA from 1 species